UCACAACUCAUUCUUGCAUAAGAGCUUUUAUUUCUCCGAAAGAAGGGUUGGAAAGAGAUGUUAUAGAUGCUAAAAGGAAUGAAAGAUUUUAUUAAUGUUUCGCCUUCUCCUUCGUAUUGACCUGUGUGCUAGUGUUCUUGUUAACGCUAUAAAUCUUUUUAAAGCAAAUUAGCAAGUAUAAAUCUUUCUAAAUGAUUUUCUCAAAAAUCAUUACCUAAUGAAACAGAAGAAACAUAUCAGUAAUCACAUAACUGUCAAAAUUGCCACAAGAGAGAAAGAGAGAUGUAAUUCAUAAGUGCAGGAACAAUGUAUACCUAUUUACAAGUAGGGCAAGUAUCACUCCUUUCAUCCACUGAAGAAUACACUGUAUGUGCUGAUCUUUAUUGUUUCUGUUCCUAAAAGUGAGCAUUCAAAAUAGGGGACAAAGCAAGUCUCCAAUAUACAACUAAAGAUGAGGCAUGUUGUAGGUUUCUGAGAACCCCGUUU
rnacentral:lncRNA from 1 species